CUUCCUCUUUUUAUUCUUUUUUUAAGGAGUAUGUAUUGACAUGUAUUGAAAUAUUACAAACAUAAUUCAUUUUUUUUCUUUAUCUUAUCCUUCUAUUUUUUCUUCCUCUUAUCCUUCUAUUUUUUCAUUCCUUUUUUUUCUUUUCUAUUUUUUUUCUUUUUCUGACAACUUCUGAAAUAUUACAAACAUAAUUAUUCAACCCCACACAACUCCAAAC
rnacentral:lncRNA from 1 species